rnacentral:rRNA from 1 species
GUUGAACGCUGGCGGCAGGCCUAACACAUGCAAGUCGAGCGGCUCAGCGGACGGGUGCGUGAUGCCUAUGAAUCUGCAUGUUACUGGGGGAUAAGGUCCGGUACUGGGAACUGAUACCGCAACCUCUCACCAGCAGCUGGGUCGGAUUAGCUAGUUGGUGGGGUAAAGGCCUACCAAGGCGACGAUCCGUAACUGGUCUGAGAGGAUGAUCAGUCACACUGGAACUGAGACACGGUCCAGACUCCUACGGGAGGCAGCAGUGGGGAAUAUUGGACAAUGGGCGAAAGCCUGAUCCAGCCAUGCCGCGUGUGUGAAGAAGGUCUUCGGGUUGUAAAGCACUUUAAGUUGGGAGGCGUUACCAGCAGAAGAAGCACCGGCUAACUCCGUGCCAGCAGCCGCGGUAAUAC